rnacentral:rRNA from 1 species
CUUCCUACGGGAGGCAGCAGUGGGGAAUAUUGCACAAUGGGGGAAACCCUGAUGCAGCAACGCCGCGUGAGUGAAGAAGUCAUUCGUGAUGUAAAGCUCUAUCAGCAGGGAAGAAAAUGACGGUACCUGAGUAAGAAGCCCCGGCUAACUACGUGCCAGCAGCCGCGGUAAUACGUAGGGGGCAAGCGUUAUCCGGAUUUACUGGGUGUAAAGGGAGCGUAGACGGCGAUGCAAGUCUGAAGUGAAAGGCGGGGGCCCAACCCCCGGACUGCUUUGGAAACUGUAUGGCUGGAG